rnacentral:rRNA from 1 species
AUGGCCAUGCCCGUCACCACCUCCACUUUUCCCCUGGUGAUUGGCUGCGCGUGCGAGAUUUUUGUGCUGGAGCCCGCAUCCGCGUGUGCUACAAACUGCCUCAGAAUUGCUGCCACCGGCCACAACAACGCCGGCGGCCACGGGGUCAAGUUGUCGUGUGCGGGGAGCCACCCCCUUCUUUUUGCUACAUCAGCUUUGUUUUUUGCUGGAAUCAGCAUCAACUUUUGCUACCACCAUCUCAUUUUUUUGCUGGAACCACAGAUCUUUUUUUUGCUACCACCAUCUUUGGACUUUGCUGGAAAUAGCCAUUUGUUUUGCUACCAUUGGCUUUGUGUUUUGCUGGAACUACCACAUUUUUUUUGCUACAAUCGUGUGGGUUUUGUGCCGGAACUAGCAUUUUUUGGUACAACCGUUGUCGAUUUUUGCUACAACCGGCAAAUAUUUUUGCUACGUUCCAUUCACGGUGAGCUGCGCCCAUCACAGCGGUGA